GGAGAGGUGUCCGAGUGGUCGAAGGUGCUUGACUCGAAAUCAAGUGAGGUUAAUCGCCUCCGUGGGUUCGAAUCCCACCCUCUCUGCCA
rnacentral:tRNA from 1 species